rnacentral:rRNA from 1 species
CGGUAGGUCAGCAUGCCCCGAAUUAUCCGGGCUACACGCGGGCUACAAUGGUCAGGACAAUGGGUAUCCGACACCGGAGAGGUGGAGGCAAUCUCCUAAACCUGUCCUUAGUUCGGAUUGUGGGCUGCAACUCGCCCACAUGAAGCUGGAAUCCGUAGUAAUCGCGUUUCAAAAUAGCGCGGUGAAUAUGUCCCUGCUCCUU